UGAACAAGAUUUGAUUUACCCAAAUUUCUUGUCAUUUUUACUUUCUCUGUCGCGAAUAAUAAACUGGGUAUGAAACACUGAUACCAGAGAUAAAAUGAGAGCCUUCUUUUAGCAUCGAGUGGAUGACUCAACAAAAGCGAUUUCAAGCAGCAAAAGAAAGUGGAAACAAGGACGAGUAUGAUAUUUCUAUCAGAAACAAAGACGGUAGUACCUUCAACAGUUAUGAAGCUUUGGUCAUCUCAGUGAUUUUGAUGUAGAAUGGAUAUUAUUCCAGAAACUACGUAUACAUACAUACAUACAUUUGAUAGAUAGAUAGAUAGAUAGAUAGAUAGAUAGAUAGAUAGAUAGAUAGAAGUUUGCGCGGAUCUAAAAACGUCCAUUUUAUGUUGUGUCUUUUAUGUUAGCUGACACAUUGACUCGACCAUCAGUUGAGAGAAUUAGCAACAAACUCGAAUAUGAUCGACUAAACACUUGAAGACGUUGCCCAAGCAUGGCUGCAAGUCUAAUGAUUGCAGCCAGUAGAAUGAUAACCGGAUAUACAUUGCUGAGUUGCACUUGUUUUCAAACGUGGUUUAAUCGGAGAUGAUUUUGAUGGGGACUAAAACAAACUGAAUCGUUUCACUGUUUUAUCAGCCAUUAAAAACAUACACACACUGUUGUACUCACUUUUAUUUUAUUAUUAUCAUUUUGUAAUAAUUACAUGUAUAAAGGUAGUGAGCUGGCAGAAACGCUAAGCACGCCGGGCGAAAUGCUUAGCGGUGUUUCGUCUGCCGUUACGUUCUGAGUUCAAAUUCCGCUGAGGUCGACUUUGCCUUUCAUCCUUUCGGGUCGAUAAAUUAAGUACCAGUUACGCAUUGGAGUUGAUGUAAUCGACUUAAUCCCUUUGUCUGUCCUUGUUUUCCCCUCCAUGUUUAGCCCCUUGUAGGCAAUAAAGAAAUAAGAAACGUUAGCACGCCGGGCGAAAUGCUUAGCGGUAUUUCGUCUGUCGUUACGCUCUGAGUUCGAAUUCCGCCGUUCUGGAACGUUCUGUUACGCACAAGGACUGGUUCAUGCAUUUGCUUUCCGAAUGUGAUAUUCAAAGUGUGACUAUUCUUUAUUGUUUCUUUACUGUUGUACUUUUUUUCUUCUGUGAUUCAGUUAUUCUUUUUAUUGUGGUUAAA